UAUCUGUUUACUUCUCUGGGGGACUGUCACUCCCCCACCCCACCCCCGCCACCUCCUCGCUGGGAAUGGUGUGAUUCUUGUUUGGCUGCCCAUCCCAGUCUUCAUCCUUCCCCCAACGGGUCAUGUGAUCAGUCCUAGCCAAUUGCAGUUUAGCGUGACCUGGGCUGUAGGGACUGGUCCAAGAGUGCUGGAGGCCAGAAAUCCAAAAUGGGUCUCACAGUCAAGACGCUGGGGGACCAAGUGCCUUUUGGUGGCUCUGGAGAAGAAUCUGUCGUCUUGCCCCUUCCAGAUCCUAGAGGCCACCUAUAUUCCUUGGCUGCUGGCUCUUUCCUCACAUCACUCCAACCUUUCCUUCCAUGUUUCCUUCUUUAGGUGGUCCCAAAGAGUGUUGAGCCAAGCUCCCCAGCACUUACCCUGCAGCUGCUGAGGGGGGUUCCUGGAGUCUGGCUGGUCUUUCCCCUGCAUCUCUGCGUACUCUGCCAUGGGUCGGAGGAGAGCCAGGGCUCCGGGACACUCCCACUGGCCUUCUGAGUACAGGGCCCCACCAUGAGAAGUGGAAGAGAUCAUCUCACAGAAAAGACGAGAAAUUAUCUGAGUGCAUCCUAUGAAGUAAAGAAUAAAUGUCUCAGGAGACUUAUUUCAGUGAUGCUCAACAUCAAAAUGGAGACUCAACCAAAGCAACCCACUCAACAUAAACAGCCCCUGUGGUCUUAUGAUUCACACCAGUACUUA